GUGGGGAAUCUUGCGCAAUGGUCUAACGACUGACGCAGCGACGCCGCGUGUGGGAGGACGCCUUUCGGGGUGUAAACCACUGUUGCCCGGGACGAACAGCCCUUUUCGAGGGGUCUGACGGUACCGGGUGAGGAAGCCCCGGCUAACUCUGUGCCAGCAGCCGCGGUAAUACAGAGGGGGCCAGCGUUAUUCGGAAUUAUUGGGCGUAAAGGGCGCGUAGGCGGCCACGCGUGUCUUCCGUGAAAUCCCUCGGCUCAACCGAGGACGUGCGGAAGAAACUGCGAGGCUCGAGUCCAGAAGAGGGGGGCGGAAUUCCCAGUGUAGCGGUGAAAUGCGUAGAUAUUGGGAGGAACACCGGUGGCGAAGGCGGCCCCCUGGGCUGGUACUGACGCUGAUGCGCGAAAGCGUGGGUAGCAAACGGGAUUAGAAACCCUAGUAGUCC
rnacentral:rRNA from 1 species